rnacentral:rRNA from 1 species
CCUACGGGCGGCAGCAGUGAGGAAUAUUGGUCAAUGGACGCGAGUCUGAACCAGCCAAGCAGCGUGAAGGAUGACUGCUCUAUGGGUUGUAAACUUCUUUUAUAAAGGAAUAAAAGGAGACACGCGUGUCUGUCUGCAAGUAUUUUACGAAUAAGGAUCGGCUAACUCCGUGCCAGCAGCCGCGGUAAUACGGAGGAUUCGAGCGUUAUCCGGAUUUAUUGGGUUUAAAGGGUGCGUAGGUGGGUUGAUAAGUUAGUGGUGAAAGUUUGCGGCUCAACUGUAGAAUUGCAAAUGAUACUGGCAGUCUAGAGAGCAGUUGAGGUAGGCGGAAUUCAUGGUGUAGCGGUGAAAUGCUUAGAGAUCACACAGAACCCCGAUUGCGAAGGCAGCUUACCAAGCUACGUCUGACGUUGAUGCACGAAAGUGUGGGUAUCAAACAGGAUUAGAUACCCGAGUAGUC